GUUCAGACUACAGAAAACAAGUGCAGCAGACACGUCUGUAAUGUCAAGCCGUGUGACAGAUGGCAGUGGAUCAGAUUCCCACAGCAAGCUAGACAGAUUCAUAGAAUGGCUGAUACAGAAGCUCAGUUACAUCAGCGUGACAACCGGCCAUGAUGAGUACAUGAAGGAGAUUGGAGGGAGGCAGCAGAGGAACGAGGAUUUGAACCGCGAGAGAUUAGUGCAAUGUGAACCAGCCAUGGCAGACACUUAAAAUAAUAUUAUUCUUUCCUACAGUUUAUACUGUAGUGUAUGUAGUAUAUUUUUGCUACUCUAUAUAGUGUUUCUCAUGCUUGGCCUCCUAUAGCAAAAGAAAAUUAGAAAGUGGGGAGUGAUUGGGAGAUGGGAGCGGGCUGGGGAAGUGAUUUAGAAAGUGAUCCGAGCGCAUCUGAAAACAAAAAAAUCUUUAAAAUUGACUGAGCCAAACCUGGAAAGCCACACAAAACAGGAAGGGAAGGAAAAGAACAGACAAAAUAAACAAGAAACAAGGGGGAAAAGAGAAACAACAGCAUAAGGAAAAGAAAAUGAAUGAGAGACAGAGAAAGGGACUUUUUAAAGAGGCCGAGGGGAAAGGGGAGGCCCAAAAGAGACAUUCAGAGUCACUUGGGGGUAUAGCACAGGGCGACAAGGAGCUGGAUAAUCGGGUGUCUGGACAGAGGGCAGGAGACAGGGCCGGCUCUAGGCACCAGCCCUCCAAGCACGUGCUUGGGGCGGCACUUUCUAAGAG